rnacentral:rRNA from 1 species
UAACUGAAGAGUUUGAUCAUGGCUCAGAUUGAACGCUGGCGGCAGGCUUAACACAUGCAAGUCGAGCGGGGGAAGGUAGCUUGCUACCGGACCUAGCGGCGGACGGGUGAGUAAUGCUUAGGAAUCUGCCUAUUAGUGGGGGACAAC